rnacentral:rRNA from 1 species
GAUGAACGCUGGCGGCGUGCCUAAUACAUGCAAGUCGAGCGAACAGACGAGGAGCUUGCUCCUCUGACGUUAGCGGCGGACGGGUGAGUAACACGUGGAUAACCUACCUAUAAGACUGGGAUAACUUCGGGAAACCGGAGCUAAUACCGGAUAAUAUAUUGAACCGCAUGGUUCAAUAGUGAAAGACGGUUUUGCUGUCACUUAUAGAUGGAUCCGCGCCGCAUUAGCUAGUUGGUAAGGUAACGGCUUACCAAGGCAACGAUGCGUAGCCGACCUGAGAGGGUGAUCGGCCACACUGGAACUGAGACACGGUCCAGACUCCUACGGGAGGCAGCAGUAGGGAAUCUUCCGCAAUGGGCGAAAGCCUGACGGAGCAACGCCGCGUGAGUGAUGAAGGUCUUCGGAUCGUAAAACUCUGUUAUUAGGGAAGAACAAAUGUGUAAGUAACUAUAGCACGUCUUGACGGUACCUAAUCAGAAAGCCACGGCUAACUACGU